rnacentral:misc_RNA from 1 species
GAUGAAGAACGUAGUGAAAUGCGAUACGUAGUGUGAAUUGCAGAAUUCAGUGAAUCAUCGAAUCUUUGAACUCACAUUGCACCUCUCGGUAUUCCGGGAGGUAUGCCUGUUCGAGCGUCAUUUGUACCCUCAAGCUCUGCUUGGUGUUGGGUGUUUGUUCCGCCUCUGUGUGUGAACUCGCCUCAAAACAAUUGGCAGCCGGCGUACUUGUUUCGGAGCGCAGCACAUUUUGCGAUCCAGAUCAACGUACAGCGGCAUCCAAGAAGCCUUAUUUAACGCUCUUGACCUCGGAUCAGGUAGGGAUACCCGCUGAACUUAAGCAUAUCAAUAAGCGGAGGA